rnacentral:ncRNA from 1 species
UUGAGUAACGAAAACAUUGGUGAGAAUCCAAUGCCCCGAAAACCCAAGGUUUCCUCCGCAAGGUUCGUCCACGGAGGGUGAGUCAGGGCCUAAGAUCAGGCCGAAAGGCGUAGUCGAUGGACAACAGGUCAAUAUUCCUGUACUACCCCUUGUUGGUACGGAGGGACGGAGGAGGCUAAAUUCCUAAGAAAAUCUGCAAAGGAAUUACAGAUGCGAUCUCGCGUUACUGGUGGGGUGAUGAUGCGUCACACAAGAGAAUGCACUGGUUUACUUGGUGGAAGA